rfam:Myotis lucifugus cont2.34409, whole genome shotgun sequence.
GGCAGUUCUAAGGUGACACACCCCAGAAUUGGACUCCCUCCUCUCUGGUUCCAGGUACGUCAUUCGAGAAUCACC